GAUGAAGAACGCAGUGAAAUGCGAUAAGUAAUGUGAAUUGCAGAAUUCAGUGAAUCAUCGAAUCUUUGAACGCACAUUGCGCCCCCUGGUAUUCCGGGGGGUAUGCCUGUCCGAGCGUCAUUACAACCCUCAAGCUCAGCUUGGUGUUGGGCCCCGCCGCCCCGGCGGGCCCUAAAGUCAGUGGCGGUGCCGUCCGGCUCCGAGCGUAGUAAUUCUUCUCGCUCUGGAGGUCCGGUCGUGUGCUCGCCAGCAACCCCCAAUUUUUUUCAGGUUGACCUCGGAUCAGGUAGGGAUACCCGCUGAACUUAAGCAUAUCAAUAAGCGGAGGA
rnacentral:misc_RNA from 1 species